AUUGAACGCUGGCGGAGUGCUUUACACAUGCAAGUCGAGCGGCAGCGCGGGGCAACCUGGCGGCGAGCGGCGAACGGGUGAGUAAUACAUCGGAACGUACCCAGUUGUGGGGGAUAGCCCGGCGAAAGCCGGAUUAAUACCGCAUACGACCUGAGGGUGAAAGUGGGGGAUCGCAAGACCUCACGCAGUUGGAGCGGCCGAUGGCGGAUUAGCUAGUUGGUGGGGUAAAGGCCUACCAAGGCGACGAUCCGUAGCGGGUCUGAGAGGACGACCCGCCACACUGGAACUGAGCCACGGUCCAGACUCCUACGGGAGGCAGCAGUGGGGAAUUUUGGACAAUGGGGGCAACCCUGAUCCAGCCAUUCCGCGUGAGUGAAGAAGGCCUUCGGGUUGUAAAGCUCUUUCGGCAGGAACGAAACGGUAGGCUCUAACAUAGCCUGCUAAUGACGGUACCUGAAGAAGAAGCACCGGCUAACUACGUGCCAGCCGCCGCCGUAA
rnacentral:rRNA from 1 species